CUACGGGAUGCUCCAGUGGGGAAUAUUGCACAAUGGGCGCAAGCCUGAUGCAGCGAUGCCGCGUGAGGGAAGAAGGUUUUCGGAUUGUAAACCUCUGUCAUCGGGGACGAUAAUGACGGUACCCGAGAAGGAAGCUCCGGCUAACUACGUGCCAGCAGCCGCGGUAAUACGUAGGGAGCAAGCGUUAUCCGGAAUUACUGGGUGUAAAGGGAGUGUAGGCGGGACUGCAAGUCAGAUGUGAAAACUAUCGGCUCAACUGGUAGAUUGCAUUUGAAACUGUGGUUCUUGAGUGAAGUAGAGGUAAGCGGAAUUCCUAGUGUAGCGGUGAAAUGCGUAGAUAUUAGGAGGAACAUCAGUGGCGAAGGCGGCUUACUGGGCUUUAACUGACGCUGAGGCUCGAAAGCGUGGGGAGCAAACAGGAUUAGAUACCCCGGUAGUC
rnacentral:rRNA from 1 species